AUAAUGUCACUGAUCUUGAGUUCUUAGUGUUGAAGGUUCAGGCUCCAUUCCCUGCGCUCAUUGCGGUUGUGUACAGACCUCCUGACUACAGUUUGACACCAUUCAUGCAAAACCUGCCAAUCAUGAAGUCGUCUGACAGGGCACACACAGUCCUGUCUCCUUUGUGGGAAAACCUUCGAACUUCACCAUCCUCAGCUGAAACAACAACAUCUUAACACCAUCUUCAUGAACUGCUGAGCCAAACCUGAUCCAUCAGUGCUGGACUGCACAGAUAACUACAUGCCACAAGGAGACUGCUGUGUUAUGAACUGCCAUACCAGUGUGUCUUCAAUGGAGAAGAUGACACACCCAUCACCUGACCUCCUGCCUGAUCUGGAGACCAUCACCAUGCUGCCACACUACACACCUCUGAGACCAUCAAUGAUGACUCAUACUGAGGAAACUGUAUUUCCUGUCAGAGAUGCUCAGUGAUCCUCAGAGCAGAGAGAGGUAUGAUUCUUUAUCUUUGAUUAAAAAAAUGUCAGUGCUUUUAAUUCAUUUAAUUAAUUUAAAUCCUGUUUAUUGCAUAAAGAAUUACACACUCAAAUGAUUAUACUUGUUGACACUUUUUGAGUUUUAAUUCACAUUAUGGAUUACAAAUCUAUGCUUUUUCUACUCUGUCUCUCUGUGCAGGUAUUGCUGUCUUCUGUGUUCUUCAGUGUCCCAACUGAG
ensembl:lncRNA